rnacentral:misc_RNA from 1 species
GUGAAUCAUCAAAUCUUUGAACGCAAAUUGCACUCUCCGGUUUUCCGGGAGAGUAUGCCUGUUUGAGGGUCAGCCUAAAAAAAAUCGACAUUGUUGCUGUUUUAUGGUGACUUUCGUCGGAGAUGGGUUAUCUUAAUUCUCGGUUUAAGCGACUUAAAAAUUUUUUUUAGGAUUCUAUUAAUGUUACUAAGAUUUUUCUUUAUCGUUUAAUGUAUC